rnacentral:rRNA from 1 species
AACGUAGGAGACAAACGUUAUCCGGAGUUACUGGGCGUAAAGGGCGUGUAGGCGGUUUGUUAAGUCUGGCGUGAAAGCUCUCGGCUAAACCGGGAGAGGUCGUUGGAUACUGGCAAACUAGAGGACGGUAGAGGCGUGUGGAAUUCCGGGUGUAGUGGUGAAAUGCGUAGAGAUCCGGAGGAACACCAGUGGCGAAGGCGACACGCUGGGCCGUACCUGACGCUGAGACGCGAAAGCGUGGGGAGCAAACAGG